GCUGGCGAUUCGUGUUCGUGAGGGCCUUUUCUGGAGCUCUCUGUACAUCCUCAACCAGAGCCACAGCUUCCUCGCCGUUUUCUGGAUGCUGCUCCCUCACCCAGGUCUGGAUCUCCUCUGGCAAGAUAGUCAGAAACUGCUCCAAAACCAGCAGCUCCAGGAUUUCCUCUUUUGAGUGGGUCUUCGGCCUCAGCCACUGACAACAGAGUUCCCAGAGUUUGCUAAAAGCUUCAUGUGGGCCAGUUACCUCCUGGUAGCAAAACUGCCUGAAGCGCUGACGGGAGGCCUCGGAGUCAGGGCUGUUACCCUGGAGGGCUGAUUUCUGGCCCUGUGUGGGAUCCUUGUUUGAGGAUGGGUGUGCCUCGGUACUCUUCACUGCAGCCAUCAUUUGCUUCAACGAACUGGCUUACUCUGGUUGCCACUUCUACCCUGGAGAUCAGAGUCCAUCUUUCCCACAUCACUGGGAAGCCAUGUUCUCCUGCAAGGAAUGUCUUUCUGUAAUCCGUGGGACAUGAGAGUGUCAGACAUGUGUAGAGACUCACAGCGGAAAAAAAGGGCUCAACUUUGAAGGAUGUCUGAAGAGGAUGGAAAAAGAC
rnacentral:lncRNA from 1 species